rnacentral:rRNA from 1 species
UGUGAAUUCAUAGCAUGUCAGAAGGCAGACCCGGAGAACUGAAACAUCUUAGUACCCGGAGGAAGAGAAAGAAAAAUCGAUUCCCUGAGUAGCGGCGAGCGAAACGGGAAGAGCCCAAACCAACAAGCUUGCUUGUUGGGGUUGUAGGACACUCUAUACGGAGUUACAAAAGAACAUGUUAGACGAAUCAUCUGGAAAGAUGAAUCAAAGAAGGUAAUAAUCCUGUAGUCGAAAACAUAUUCUCUCUUGAGUGGAUCCUGAGUACGACGGAGCACGUGAAAUUCCGUCGGAAUCUGGGAGGACCAUCUCCUAAGGCUAAAUACUCUCUAGUGACCGAUAGUGAACCAGUACCGUGAGGGAAAGGUGAAAAGUACCCCGGAAGGGGAGUGAAAGAGAACUUGAAACCGUGUGCUUACAAGUAGUCAAAGCCCGUUAAUGGGUGAUGGCGUGCCUUUUGUAGAAUGAACCGGCGAGUUACGAUCUGAUGCAAGGUUAAGCAGCAAAUGUGGAGCCGCAGCGAAAGCGAGUCUGAAUAGGGCGUUGAGUAUUUGGUCGUAGACCCGAAACCAGGUGAUCUACCCUUGGUCAGGUUGAAGUUCAGGUAACACUGAAUGGAGGACCGAACCGACUUACGUUGAAAAGUGAGCGGAUGAACUGAGGGUAGCGGAGAAAUUCCAAUCGAACUUGGAGAUAGCUGGUUCUCUCCGAAAUAGCUUUAGGGCUAGCCUCAAGUG